rnacentral:tRNA from 1 species
GAGGGUAUAGCUCAGUGGUCAGAGUGCACACUAAGCAUGCAUGAAGUCCUGGGUUCAAUCCCCAGUAUCUCCC